GAAGUUUGUGGACGAUUGCAGUUGUUAUCCUAGUUAAUAUGCACUUGGCAAUGGACAUUAAGCGGUGGUUGCUACUUACUCAUUCUUCAGUUUGGGGAUCAAUAAUCAUUACUUAUGCCUGUGUGGUGGUAUUGGAUUCUAUACCCAUCUUCCCCAAUUACGGGACAAUAUACCAUCUGGCAAAGUCACCUGCAUAUUGGCUCUCCGUCUUGGUUAUAAUAGUCUUAGCAUUACUCCCUCGCUUUAUUUGGAAAGUUAUACAUUAAAAUUUUUGGCCUUCAGAUAUCCAGAUAGCUAGAGAAGCUGAGAUACUGAGAAAAGAACCUAAUUAUUUUGGGUCUAAGCCAGAUCCAGGUUCCAGUUAAUAUGUAUAUACCUUCCUUGCUCUCUGUCUCUGUGGUUGGAGAAAAAUAAUUCUCACCUAUGGGCAUGAGCUUUCUCGAACAGUAACUAGCCAUAUGUUAAACCCCAUGGUCAACCCAUUUUCUCACUUUCAUCAUCAUCAUCUUUCUCUUUAAUUGAAUUCUGCACUUGUGUGUACAUAUCAUGUUAAAUAUGUAAAUGUCUAAUUAGUAUAUCUUGUUAAAAGAAAUAUGUACUUGUGUAUACAUAUAUAUAUAUAUUAGCAUUUGGGCCCAUGCAAUGCGUAGCAAUUCAUUUUGGUCCUCUUUUUUUUUGUUGUAAAAUUCAUAAUAUGAAUUUCUAUUUCUGUUUAAAUAGAGAUAUGGUUGAGGGUAGGCAAUUGAAACUGUCAUGAUUUUUCUUUGAACUUCUGUGGCAACUUGAUAUUUACAUGUUUAUCCCUUUUAUGAUGAAAAGCACAGACAUAUGGCAUGGUUUUUCUGGACAAAGAGGUAGCGUGACGGACCUUAAAAUAUGUGUUCACAUUAUAUUAUAUAAUAAUAUAAAUAGUAUAGAUGUAUGUAUUGUAAGUUCAAGGAAACUUA